UACGAAGGGGGCUAGCGUUGCUCGGAAUUACUGGGCGUAAAGGGCGCGUAGGCGGGUCGUUUAGUUAGAGGUGAAAGCCCAGGGCUCAACCCUGGAAUUGCCUUUAAUACUGGCGGCCUUGAGUAUGGCAGAGGUGUGUGGAACUCCGAGUGUAGAGGUGAAAUUCGUAGAUAUUCGGAAGAACACCAGUGGCGAAGGCGGCUCACUGGCCCGGUACUGACGCUGAGGCACGAAAGCGUGGGGAGCAAACAGG
rnacentral:rRNA from 1 species